UGGGGUAUCGCCAAGCGGUAAGGCAGCGGGUUUUGAUCCCGCCAUUCCUAGGUUCGAAUCCUAGUACCCCAG
rnacentral:tRNA from 1 species